rnacentral:rRNA from 1 species
GGGCCCGCACAAGCGGUGGAGCAUGUGGUUUAAUUCGAUGAUACGCGAGGAACCUUACCAGGGCUUAAAUGCAUAUUGACAGGUCUAGAGAUAGAUUUUCCUUCGGGCAAUUUGCAAGGUGCUGCAUGGUUGUCGUCAGCUCGUGCCGUGAGGUGUCAGGUUAAGUCCUAUAACGAGCGCAACCCCUACCGUUAGUUGCCAGCAAGUAAAGUUGGGGACUCUAACGGGACUGCCGGUGCAAACCGCGAGGAAGGUGGGGACGACGUCAAAUCAUCACGGCCCUUACGUCCUGGGCUACACACGUGCUACAAUGGCCGGUACAGCGGGAAGCCACUGCGCAAGCAGGCGCGGAUCCACAAAACCGGUCACAGUUCGGAUCGAGGUCUGCAACCCGACCUCGUGAAGCUGGAAUCGCUAGUAAUCG